rnacentral:rRNA from 1 species
UACGGGGGGUGCGAGCGUUAAUAGGAAUUACUGGGCGUAAAGCGUACGCAGGCGGUCUGUUAAGUCAGAUGUGAAAUCCCCGGGCUUAACCUGGGAAUUGCAUUUGAAACUGACAGGCUAGAGUCUCGUAGAGGGGGGUAGAAUUCCAGGUGUAGCGGUGAAAUGCGUAGAGAUCUGGAGGAAUCCCAGUGGCGAAGGCGGCCCCCUGGAUGAAGACUGACGCUCAGGUACGAAAGCGUGGGGAGCAAACAGG